rnacentral:rRNA from 1 species
AUUGAACGCUGGCGGCAGGCCUAACACAUGCAAGUCGAACGGUAACAGGAAGACGCUUGCUUCUUUGCUGACGAGUGGCGGACGGGUGAGUAAUGUCUGGGAAACUGCCUGAUGGAGGGGGAUAACUACUGGAAACGGUAGCUAAUACCGCAUAACGUCGCAAGACCAAAGAGGGGGACCUUCGGGCCUCUUGCCAUCGGAUGUGCCCAGAUGGGAUUAGCUAGUAGGUGGGGUAACGGCUCACCUAGGCGACGAUCCCUAGCUGGUCUGAGAGGAUGACCAGCAACACGGGAACUGAGAAACGGUCCAGACGCCUACGGGAGGCAGAAGGGGGAAUAUUGCACAAUGGGCGCAAGCCUGAUGCAGCCAUGCCGCGUGUAUGAAGAAGGCCUUCGGGUUGUAAAGUACUUUCAGCGGGGAGGAAGGGAGUAAAGUUAAUACCUUUGCUCAUUGACGUUACCCGCAGAAGAAGCACCGGCUAACUCCGUG